CAUUCGGUUCCAUCAUCUCAUGCUGCUGGGAGAUGGAGACACACCCUGUAGCAAAUUGAACAGAGAAGGUGUCAUCUGUGGCGCCCAGGGUGUUGUUUUCUCCAGCUGCUCCAUGGCCCUCACAGCCCAGUUGUUGCUGAGGAUUUUGGUACUCAAGGUGCCUGAAGCUAAGGCAGUUGCUGCAGAAAGAAGGAGAGUGAGGAGGAGAUAGCAGACAUCAAGGGAUUUCCGUUUCUCUUUUGCUGCCCAUGUACUUCAGGCCAUCAGCCUGGCUCUAUCUGUAAUCAAAUAAAC